ACACGCUCUGCCAGCUGCCGCUAUCCUCCGUUCUCCUCCCUCUCUCUCUCUCUCCCCCCGCACACACUCUCCUCUACCUCUUCAUCCUCUCAUGUAUCUCACUCGGAUUCUCCUUGUCCUGGAGACUCGAGCACCAAUGGUCGGGAGGCUCUUGAUUAUUGAUAGCGGCGUUGGAAUAACUAAAGGAGAUUUGGUGAAUAAUUUGGGGACGAUUGCAAGAUCGGGGACGAUGGAGUUUAUGGAGGCAUUUCAAGCUGGGGCUGAUGUGAACAUGAUUGGGCAUUUGGUGUGGGAUUUUACUUUGCUUAUCUAGUGGUGGAGAAGGUGAUUGUGACCACCAAAUAUAAUAAUGAUGAGCAGUAUGUUUGGUAGUCACAGGGCGGUGGUUCAUUUGCUGGUGGCUCGUUUACUAAGAUGAAGCUCUUUCUCAAGGAUGAUUAAGCCUUAAGGAACCCUAGCGCUUCUGUUUCUUCCCCCUUUUCCCCAAACAAUUUUAUUUAUAUAUUUUUACGUAUCUAUCCUUUAAUUUUUUUAA